GGUAAUCUGCUGUGGUCUUUUUCCACGGUUUGGAAGCUUUAUUUUUUUGCUCUUUGCAAUAAAUAUUGUUGCUGCUAAUUCUUUGAGUCCACACUGCUUUUGUGAGUUGUAGCACUCACCCGAAGGUUUGCAGCUUCACUCCUGAAGCCAGUGAGACCACGAACCCAACGAGAGGAACGAAGAAUUCCAGACGCGCUGCAUUAAGAGCUGUAACACUCACUGCGAAGGUCUGCAGCUUCACUUUUGAAGCCAGCAAGACCACGAACCCAUCAGAAGGAAGAAACUCCAAACACAUCCGAGCAGCAGAAGGAACAAACUCCGGACACGCUGCCUUUAAGAACUGUGACACUCAGAGCGAGGGUCUGCGGCAUCACAUUUGAAGUCAGUGAGACCAAGAACCCACCGAUUCCGGACGCGAGCAGGUUGCUUCAGGGUAUAGACAUUUGGCACAGUACUGCAGCAUAAACCCAUCAAGAUGGAAGUGCCUGGAGCCUGCAGACAGGGUCUCUCCACCCCAGCUGCUGGUCCAACCUGCCUCGCAGGGCGUGACAUGGCUGUUGUCCUCACUGCCUUGUACUCUGCCUCACCAGUCCCA
rnacentral:lncRNA from 1 species